rnacentral:lncRNA from 10 species
CUCUGUCUCAAAAAAGAAAAAAAAGAAAAAAGAAAACAUACUCCUCAGUUGGAUUCACCACUCACAUUUGCUUUCUAUAUAUUUAUGUUAUUUGCUAAACCACUAGAAAUUCAGUUGCAGAUAUACCCUUUCUAAAUAUGUCAUUUGUAUCUCCUAAGGAUAAGGGCAUUUUCUUCUACAAUUAGUAUAAUUAAUUCGGGACAUUGAAGAUUAGUAUUAUUAAAAAAAAAUUUUUUUUGAGACAGUCAUCUAGCGCAAUCUCGGCUCACUGCAACCUGCACCUCCCGGGUUCGGUUUCAAGCCAUUCUUGUGCCUCAGCUUUCUGAGUAGCUGGGAUUACAGACGCGUGCCACCACUCCUGGCUAAUCUUUUAUUUUUAGUAGAGACGGGGUUUCGCUAUGUUGGCCAGACUCUGGAACUCCCGGCCUCAAGUGAUCUGCUCACCUUGGCCUUCUAAAGUGCUGAGAUUACAGGCGUGAGCCACCGCACCCAGCAAGAUUAAUGUAAUGUUCUAGUAUUAGUCUGUACAGAUUGAGUAUCCCUUAACCAAAAAGCUUGGGACUACAGUGUUUUGGAUUUUGGAUUUUUGAAUAUUUGCAUUAUACUUACCGGUUGAGCAUCCCAAAUCUGAAAAUAAAAAAUCUGAAAUGGUCCAAUUCAGAUUUGGGAUGCUCAACGAAUGUCUUCAAACUGAUAAAUGUGUUGAUACCUAAUCCCCUCCAUUUAUUACCCAUUGCACUUGUCACAUUUCUUCAGUUUCCUUUAACUUGGAACAAUUCCUUAGCCUUUGUCUUUAACAGUGACACUUUAAAGGGUGCACACCAGAUGUUUAAAAAAUGUCCCUUAGUUUUUUUCUGUUUCUUCCAGCUCCAGUUCAGGUUAUGCAUUUUGGCAAGGAUACUUAACUCUGUUAUAUUACAUGAGAAGGCACAUGAUGUCAGCUUAUUCCAAUAUUUGUUGUGUUAGGUUGUUAAGGUGUUGUCUGCCAGAUUUCUCUACUGUAAGGUUUCUUAUAAUUCUGUGGGAGUAUACAUUGAGUCUCCUUCCUCAACAAACCCACUGAUUUUAACAUCUGUUGGUUCUUGCUUGAAUCAGUUAUUACUGUCAUACCUUAUAUAUUAGCUGAUAACUUCUCCAGUCAAGAAGAGCUUUCCCUUCUCUCAUUUCUUUUAUAUCAUAUCUAAUUUCUACACCAGUGUUGGUGUAGACUCAAUUCUUAAUUUGAUUAAUGUGUUAUGACCCAUGACAGUCAUUCACUUUACCCCAUUCAGCUGUUGGGGGCUGGGGUGCUCAUCUCAGGUCCUUGAAUGAGACUUUGUACAGUCUAUUAAUACACUGAAGGGUUCCAAUCUGUGACCAACGAUGUUCAAACUCAGCCACAUCAAACGUCUGUAUAAGUCAUAACAGUACUAUAAGAUUUAAAAUUUAUGAAAGCUUGAUGGAAUACCUUAAGGGAUAAACCGCAAAUGGAAAUUUACUAGUACUGAAGAUUCUUCCAGAAGAGGCAAUCUUAGAGAACAAUAUCCUAACUCUUUUAUUAACUUUGAAAUACCACAAUUUUCAUGUCUUCAUUUAUGUGCUCUAAUUAGAUAAUGUUUAAGUCACAACUCACACAAUUACGUGCUCAGAAUUCAUCUUGAUUACAGCUCUCUUCCUACUAACUCUAUUUAAUUUGUUUCCUCUCCAGAAUUAAUCACUGUUAACUUGUUACUUACUUGUAUAUGCGGAUUGAAAUGCAUGAUUUCUCAACAUGGAAUCAGCAUUUGCAGCCUAAUGCGCUUAUUUUUAUUAAUAUCACACCUCUCACAACUUCAUGCUGAUCCACGUUCAUGUUGUAGAUUAAGUUAUCUACUAUUGUAUUACUAAAUCCUAAAUGUUACAGGUUAUUAAAAAAUCAGAUCUGGCCGGGCGCAGUUGCUCACGCUGUAAUCUUAGCACUUUGGGAGGCUGACAUGGGCAGAUCACUUAAUGUCGGGAGUUCAAGACCAGCCUAGCCAACACGGUGAAACCCCGUCUCUAAUAAAAAUACCAAA